rnacentral:tRNA from 7 species
AGGGGCGUCGCCAAGUGGUAAGGCAAUGGACUUUGACUCCAUUAUGCGCUGGUUCGAUCCCAGCCGCCCCUGCCA